rnacentral:rRNA from 1 species
CCUACGGGUGGCAGCAGUGAGGAAUAUUGGUCAAUGGACGCGAGCCUGAACCAGCAAAGUAGCGUGAAGGAUGACUGCCCUACGGUUUGUAAACUUCUUUUAUAAAGGAAUAAAGUGAGGCACGUGUGACUUUUUGUAUGUACUUUAUGAAUAAGGAUCGGCUAACUCCGUGCCAGCAGCCGCGGUAAUACGGAGGAUCCGAGCGUUAUCCGGAUUUAUGGGGUUUAAAGGGAGCGUAGAUGGGUUGUUAAGUCAGUUGUGAAAUUUUGCGGCUAAACCGUAAAAUUGCAAUUGAUACUGGCAGUCUUGAGUACAGUUGAGGUAGGCGGAAUUCGUGGUGUAGCGGUGAAAUGCUUAGAUAUCACGAAGAACUCCGAUUGCGAAGGCAGCUUACUAAACUGCAACUGACAUUGAUGCUCGAAAGUGUGGGUAUCAAACAGGAUUAGAUACCCGUGUAGUC